UUAGUUAUCCAAUCAAAUACUGAAGAAUUUGCUUAUGAGCAAAUGUGGUGGAUCCAUUAUAUCAGAAUUCUAUAGUGCAGAAUGUAGGAGAAACAAUGCAGUACCCAGCACUAUGAGUGCUUCAGACAUGGUGAUUCCUAUAACUUGCAUGGAGCAUAGCACAAUUAGGAUGGAUAGCAGGUCUUUUGGCUAUUCUCUUCUGUGCUGCAGUUACUCUUUUUGCAACAUCCAUACUUUGUGAUUGCUAUAAAUCUCCAGAUUUUGCAACACAGAUUUAUAGGAAGACAGUGGAACGGGAUGGUCG
rnacentral:lncRNA from 1 species